rnacentral:ncRNA from 1 species
CCAGGUUUCUUGCUUCCUAAAAGCAAGUGGUGCGGAUGGGACUCUCUCCCGCCUGGUUUCCAAUUUCCAGUCAAAGAAUUGGUGGCGAGCCUGAGU